UACGGAGGGGACUAGCGUUGUUCGGAAUUACUGGGCGUAAAGCGCACGUAGGCGGAUUUGUAAGUCAGGGGUGAAAUCCCGGGGCUCAACCUCGGAACUGCCUUCGAUACUGCGGGUCUCGAGUCCGGGAGAGGUGAGUGGAAUUCCUAGUGUAGAGGUGAAAUUCGUAGAUAUUGUGAGGAACACUAGUGGCGAAGGCGAGACUCUGGACAGUUCCUGACGCUGAGGCACGAAGGCCAGGGGAGCAAACGGG
rnacentral:rRNA from 1 species